UUUGAAGAGAGAGUUCAAGAGUACGUGAAACCGUUCAGGGGUAAACCUGAGAAACCCGAAAGAUCGAAAGGGGAGAUUCAUCGUCGGCGAAGCUGGCCUCACGGCGGUUCGUGAUGUCCGCGCGCGAUUUCGGUCGCGGGCGCGGCACGCGUCCGUCAUGUUUACGUCCGGCGGCGUCGGCGUGCACUUCUCCUCUAGUAGGACGUCGCGACCCGUUGGGUGUCGGUCUACGGCCCGGGUGGUAGUCUGUUGUGCGAGGUACCGCGUCGCAAGACGCGAUUGCCUCGCCCAGACCCUCGGAGGCCCGGCCGGCUGCCCGGCGGUAUAAUUCGAAACACGGUAUCGGGCCGCACGCAAUUUAUUGCGCUGCGUCGGACCCGCCGCAAGCGAGUGUCAGUGUUUCCCGUUGUGACGGACCAAGCGCCGUUCUCGGGCCUGACCAGCUGUUGGCAGGCGGUGCUCCCCGACAGGCUCUUUUAACAUAUGAUAUACCGGUCGGCGAUGCUAAUGCUUUGGGUACUUUCAGGACCCGUCUUGAAACACGGACCAAGGAGUCUAACAUGUGCGCGAGUCAUUGGGGACUAUGUGGAAGCCCAAAGGCGCAAUGAAAGUGAAGGUCGGCCUCGCGCCGACCGAGGGAGGAUGGGCCGCGUCACGAUGCGGCUCCGCACUCCCGGGGCGUCUCGUUCUCAUUGCGAGAGGAGGCGCACCCAGAGCGUACACGUUGGGACCCGAAAGAUGGUGAACUAUGCCUGGUCAGGACGAAGUCAGGGGAAACCCUGAUGGAGGUCCGUAGCGAUUCUGACGUGCAAAUCGAUCGUCGGAACUGGGUAUAGGGGCGAAAGACUAAUCGAACCUUCUAGNAGCUGGUUCCCUCCGAAGUUUCCCUCAGGAUAGCUGGCACUCGUACGUUCUUAUGAAC
rnacentral:rRNA from 1 species